ACAUCCCUUUGCCAAGACUCGACUCUCUUUCGCUCUCACACCCCUCCCACACUCGCCCCCCGCCUCCCUCCUCGUCAGCUCUGUCGCGCCAUCUCGACCCCCUGUGCCAUCGCUUCUCCUGCCCAUCUCCGCCUCACCUUUUUGUUUGCUGCGCCUUUGCGAAGAUGUAUUCCCAUAUCGGCGUUCUGAUCUACGUGAUCCUCCAGUUCCUCGCGUUGCUUUGUUUGGUGGUGGCUACGCCGUUCGACAUGUUUCGCGAGGUGAAGGGCGGGGUCUUCGGCGGCAGCGCUUGUGUGACGCUAUGGGGUUUACAGAAGGUGUGCUUGGGCACAGAGUACAUCAUGAAGACGGAGUUGCUGUGGAAGAAUUGCCCGAGCCGCCGCGACCGUUUCCUCCUUGCUCAGGCGUUUGAUGUCAUCUCACUCGCCGUGUACGCCGUAGCGUUUCUGUUCGGUUUCAUUUUGCUGUGGUGCUGCUCUGCCUUUCGCUGGGUCUGCGUGGCCCUCAACAUCGUCGGCAUCGGCACCGUGUGCGUCGUCUGGGUGCUGAUGGUGAAGGUCUACCACAUCGAUGAUGGCACUGUUUGCAUGGUUCUGGACAAGGGCUUCCGCUUUGGUAUCGGCUUUGGUCUCUUAUUGGUGGCCUGGGUGCUGGAUAUCAUCGCCAUCUUCUUCUUGCUGCUGCCAUUAGAGGCCAAGCAGGACAGUGAGAGUACAAAGUCGGAGGAAACGGAAGAAGCAGAAGCACCGGAAAAACCAAAAGACGCGAACGAACAGGAGUAGGCAGCCAAGAGCGGAAGGAGGCGGAGGGCGAUGCUGACAGCAGUGCGGGCCCACUGCGAAGACGCCCUCGUGGAGGUGCCGGCGGUGCCCACGCCAGUGGGGAAGAGGGAUCGAAAGCUGCGGGUCCUCGUGCCUGCCUCUCGCUGGCUUCUCGUGUGUGUGUGUGCGUGCGUGUGCUGUGCUCCUCGUGCGUUCUGAAGGCGGUGCGCACGCGCACCCACACGCUGCUGCAGACAUCCCGAGGAGCUGCGCGCGCUCCUUUUGUCUUCGCGUCUCUUUUCCCUUUGUUUGCUCGCACUGUUCUCGGUGCGCGUGCGUUUCUUCCCGAGUGAUUGCCUCCUUGUCAGGCGUUGCUGCAGUGUAUGGGAGGGUCUGCUGCCUUGCUCAUGGCAGAACGACACGUGGCCAAAAAAGUCGAGUUUGUUUUCACACGGUCUCUCCCCGGUGUGUCUCUUUUCGUCCUUCUGUGCUUUCUUCAUUUUUGCUGUUUUCAUCGGUACCGCGAUCUGCCCUUUGUGGUGAGCAACGCACGCAUGGCACCGACAAGCCCGCCCAUGCCCCCUUCCCCCCUCUCUGCCCCUCGCCUUCACUAUCUCCUCGACAUCGCCCCCCUCCCGCUCACCCGACGCACCUUUGCGAAGUGAAGAAGCAAAGGACGCAGCAAGAUGCCCACACGGUCGCCGCCGGCCGGAGAAUCAGCGGGGGGGAGGGGAGGAGAGAGGAGAGCGGGCAAAACGGAGGGGGCAGGCAAACGCAAAGGCGGGCGGGGGAAACCGAUGCCCUCGCGCGAAGGACGGGAAACGCAGCGCCACGCCGCAUCGGUCACCCGCCUCCGUCCCACCCCCAUCCAUACCCCAUAGCUGAGAUCGCGCGUCUUUCUGGCGCUUCUCUCUCGCGUGCCCUUUGGCCCUCGUCGCUGCCUCUCCUCCCUCACACACGCCUCAUGGACUACUUGAACGGAGAAGGGCGAGGGGCGGGGGGGGCGAGGCGCCACAGGGGGUGGCUGCAGGGGGGCGGGGUAGGAAUCAGGCAAGCUGAUGAGCAAGCGCACCGGGGAGGCCAGAGGACAGCGUCUGUGCGCACAGCAGCGGCGCACAGAUGCAUGCACGAACCAGGAGAAACGAUGACAGCACUCGCUCCUCCUCUUUCUGUGCUCCUCAUGCACGGUGCGUGCGCGUGCACAAGAGGACACCCCCACCGUGCAAGGGCGUGUGGGGUCGGGGGAGGCAGCGGAGGAGAGGGCAAGACGGACUGGGGAAGGAGGGAAGCUCUCUGAGGCAUGAAGGCCGACCAUACGUCGGGCAUACGUGCGUCACGUGUGCGCAUGCUCGUGCGUGUGGGCGCGUGCACCCUUGUGACCCCGCUCCCCCUCCCAUGAGUGUCGCGCUCCACGUUGCCCUUCUCUUGCUGCUGCGGCUCUCCCGUGCUCCUGGAACUCACAGGAGGACACCAAAAAGCACCACGACGACACGGAGAAGAAAAUCGAGCACCGCCUCGAUCUCCUCUGCUGUCGUGGUUUUCUUUUCUCGCUUCUGUUGUUUGCAGCUUGCUGCCCCGCGUUUUCGUUUUCUUUGUCGUUUUCAUUAUUAUUUUUUCUUUCUGUCGCUUCUCGCUUUCUUCUCUCGUUCCUCCGCAGAAACUUCGUAUGGACUUGUGCGUGCGUGUGCCUCUCUGCCUUUUCUCUCUUGUUGUCGUUGUGCGCUGCUGCCCUUGUUUCUGUUUCGCUCUGUGCGCAGGCGACAGGCUGAUGGAGAGGAUGAAAAAACGGAACGAAAGGCGACAGCAAUACAGCGGAGGAGGGGAAAAGGCGCGUGCAACGGCAGCAGCACAGGCGCGCAGGCACAGGAAGGUGGGCAAUCGAACGACGGCACACAAAGCGGAUAGGGUCGGUACACAGACGUGAGGAAAGCGGAAGGGAGACAGGGCUGCAUUUCUGUUGCUCUUCGUGACCCGAGUCCGUCCGUGCCUGUGUGCCUGUGCCUGCGCUCCUUGUGUCCUUUUACCUCUCCGCCUCUAUCGUGCUUUUUCCGUGCUUGUUUCUUCAUCGUUUCAUUUACAACGUCAAAUCCUCCAG
rnacentral:misc_RNA from 1 species